CGGGGCGUAGCGCAGACGGGAGCGCGCCUGCCUUGGGAGCAGGAGGUCGCUGGUUCAAGUCCAGCCGUCCCGACCA
rnacentral:tRNA from 1 species